CGGGCGGGUCGCUGCUAUAAUGCAGUCGAGCGAACUGAUUAGAAGCUUGCUUCUAUGACGUUAGCGGCGGACGGGUGAGUAACACGUGGGCAACCUGCCUGUAAGACUGGGAUAACUCCGGGAAACCGGAGCUAAUACCGGAUAACAUUUUCUCUUGCAUAAGAGAUAAUUGAAAGAUGGUUUCGGCUAUCACUUACAGAUGGGCCCGCGGUGCAUUAGCUAGUUGGUGAGGUAACGGCUCACCAAGGCAACGAUGCAUACCCGACCUGAGAGGGUGAUCGGCCACACUGGGACUGAGACACGGCCCAGACUCCUACGGGAGGCAGCAGUAGGGAAUCUUCCGCAAUGGACGAAAGUCUGACGGAGCAACCCGCGUGAGUGAUGAAGGCUUUCGGGUCGUAAAACUCUGUUGUUAGGGAAGAACAAGUACAAGAGUAACUGCUUGUACCUUGACGGUACCUAACCAGAAAGCCACGGCUAACUACGUGCCCAGCAGCCGCGGUAAUACGUAGGUGGCAAGCGUUAUCCGGAAUUAUUGGGCGUAAAGCGCGCGCAGGCGGUUUCUUAAGUCUGAUGUGAAAGCCCACGGCUCAACCGUGGGGGUCAUUGGAAACUGGGGAACUUGAGUGCAGAAGAGAAAAGCGGAAUUCCCCCGUGUAGCGGUGAAAUGCGUAGAGAUGUGGAGGAACACCAGUGGCGAAGGCGAAGUCUUUUUUUUUCUGUAUCUGACGCCCUGAUGCGCGAAUUUCGUGGGGAGCCACCCGAGAUUAGAUACCGGUGGUAGUCUCAUCGCACGUAAAACGAUGAGUGCUGAGUGCGUUAGUGGGUUUCCGCCAUACUUUCAGGUGCUGCAGCUUGCCGCAUUACGUAUUACCGCCUGGGGAGCUGGCAGGGUCGUUAGUCGUGAAGCUUUCAUAGGUUAUUGUACGGUGGCCCGUACCAGCAGGUGGAGUCUUGUAGGUUUAUAUUCGAAGCUACGCGACAGAGUAUUCUUACCAGGACUCGUUGACAUCUCCUGACACGCGUGCUCGAGAUCGAGCUUUCUCCUUCGGGGGAUCAGCGUGACAGGUGGUGCAUGGUUGUCGUCAGAUCUGGACGUGUCGUGAUCGAUAGUUGGCGUUAAGUCACCUCAUCGAGCGUCAAGGCUAUGCAUCGUUAGCUUGGUGAGCAUUUAGUUGGGUACUACUAAGGUGACUGCGCGGUGACAAGCUGGAGAGAUAGGUGGGGAUGACGUCAACUCAUCAUGCUCCUUCCAUGACCUGGGCUACACACGAUGCUACAAUGGAUCGAGUACAAUGCGAGCUGCAAGACCGCGAGGUCAUGACCACUGCUCCAUAAAACCAUUCUCAGUUCGGAUUGUAGGCUGCAACUCGCCUACAUGAAGCUGGAAUCGCUAGUAAUCGCGGAUCAGCAUGCCGCAGACACAGAC
rnacentral:rRNA from 1 species